rnacentral:rRNA from 1 species
CAGGCCUACACAUGCAAGUCGAACGGUAACAUUUCUAGCUUGCUAGAAGAUGACGAGUGGCGGACGGGUGAGUAAUGCUUGGGAACUUGCCUUUAGGAGGGGGAUAACAGUUGGAAACGACUGCUAAUACCGCAUAAUGUCUACGGACCAAAGGGGGCUUUUACCUCUCACCUAAAGAGAGGCCCAAGUGAAAUUACCUAGUUGGUAAGGUAAAGGCUUACCAAGGCAACAAUCUCUAGCUGUUCUGAGAGGAAAAUCACCCACACUGGGACUGAAACACGGCCCAAACUCCUACGGGAGGCAGCAUUGGGGAAUAUUGCACAAUGGGGGAAACCCUGAUGCACCCAUGCCGCGUGUGUGAAAAAGGCCUUCGGGUUGUAAAGCACUUUCAGUUGUGAGGAAAGGUUGGUAGUUAAUACCUGCCACCUGUGACGUUAACAACAAAAAAACCACCGGCUAACUCCGUGCCACCAGCCGCGGUAAUACGGAGGGUGCAAGCGUUAAUCGGAUUUACUGGGCGUAAAGCGCACGCAGGCGGUUUGUUAACCUAGAUGUGAAAGCCCCGGGCUCAACCUGGGAUGGUCAUUUAAAACUGGCAAACUAAAGUCUUGGAAAGGGGAGUGGAAUUCCAGGUGUACCGGUGAAAUGCGUA